GACGUAGGGCGCGAGCGUUGUCCGGAUUUAUUGGGCGUAAAGAGCUCGUAUGCGGCUUGUCGCGUCGUUCGUGAAAACCUGCAGCUCAACUGCAGGCUUGCGGUCGAUACGGGCAGGCUAGAGUUCGGUAGGGGAGACUGGAAUUCCUGGUGUAGCGGUGAAAUGCGCAGAUAUCAGGAGGAACACCGGUGGCGAAGGCGGGUCUCUGGGCCGAUACUGACGCUGAGGAGCGAAAGCGUGGGGAGCGAACAGG
rnacentral:rRNA from 1 species